UACGAAGGACCCAAGCGUUAUCCGGAUUUAUUGGGCUUAAAGGGCGCGUAGGCGGAUUAUUAAGUCAGUGGUGAAAGCCUUCAGCUUAACUGAAGAACUGCCAUUGAUACUGAUGAUCUUGAGUAUGAUUGAGGUGGGCGGAAUGUGUCAUGUAGCGGUGAAAUGCUUAGAUAUGACACAGAACACCGAUUGCGAAGGCAGCUCACUAAGUCAUAACUGACGCUGAUGCACGAAAGCGUGGGGAGCAAACAGG
rnacentral:rRNA from 1 species